CUAAGAAUCUUCCGCAAUGGGGGAAACCCUGACGGAGCGACGCCGCGUGGGCGAAGAAGGCCGGAAGGUUGUAAAGCCCUUUUCUUGACGAAGAAUAAGGCAAGGAGUGGAACGCCUUGCUGAUGACGUUAGUCGAGGAAGAAGCCCCGGCCAAUUACGUGCCAGCAGCCGCGGUAACACGUAUGGGGCGAGCGUUGUUCGGAAUUACUGGGCGUAAAGGGUGCGUAGGCGGUUCAGCAAGCCUGGUGUUAAAUACCCCGGCCCAACCGGGGAGCUGCGCUGGGAACUGCUGGGCUGGAGUUCAGGAGGGGAAGCUGGAAUUCCUGGUGUAGGGGUGAAAUCUGUAGAGAUCAGGAAGAACACCGAUGGCGAAGGCAAGCUUCUGGCCAUGGACUGACGCUGAGGCACGAAAGCGUGGGGAGCGAACAGGAUUGGAUACCCUGGUAGUCCACGCCGUAAACGAUGUGCACUAGGUGUUGGGGCGAUGAAAGCCUCGGUGCCGUAGCGAACGUGUUAAGUGCACCGCCUGGGGAGUAUGCUCGCAAGGGUA
rnacentral:rRNA from 1 species